CAAGUGACCCCGGUCUAACCACCGGGAUGUUCAUAACCCUUUGUUGUCCGACUCUGUUGCCUCCGGGGCGACCCUGCCUUCGGGCGGGGGCUCCGGGUGGACACUUCAAACUCUUGCGUAACUUUGCAGUCUGAGUAAACUUAAUUAAUAGAUUA
rnacentral:misc_RNA from 1 species